AGUGGCAAAGCUAGGCUAGGUCUUGGAGGCUGGUGUAAGGCGAUGUGGGUGAAGGCAGGAGGCUGAUGGAAAGACUGGGGGGAAGAAAAGCCGAAAUGGAUUCACGGUGCCUUGGAUGAAGGACGAGAGGGGAACUGCAAGCUCCUUCAACUGGUUCUGUCCGGUGAGAAGUGAUCAAGCUUGGGCUGACAAGAGGCUCAGGGAGCCCUCACGUUCUUUCGCUUUUUUACCUGCCAAUCAAACUGCUACAAGACAACACCCUGAUCUGGCAUGGACAUCGCGGGUCCAAGCCUGUAGCCCCAAAUCGGAUAAUCUCUGCAGCUGAUAACAAGCAAAAGAGAAGCCAGGCAACAGCCAUAUUAAAGAAGAAAACAAUCAACUCUGAGCUCACCAACUUCUCAAACCUUGAUUCUAAAAAGAAAAAUAGGCCAGGCGCAGUGGCUCACACCUGUAAUCCCAGCACUUUGGGAGGCUGAGAUCCAACUUAGAAAUAAUGUUUCAUUCAAGAUAAGGCUCGUGGCUUAGGAGAUUGUGACCUGGCUUGCAUCAUUCUAAGACUUCUAUCGUCUGUUUUCAAAACCCAAGGAGGACCUCCUUUUCUGUGUGAUAGUUCCUCAUGCUUUGCCAGCCACUGGGUCUUUAAGGAAGCUUGCCAAGAGUUCCCGGCUGGGAAGGACAGUUCGAGUUCAUCAUAGACAAUGAGCUGGCACCACAGUUUAAGUGACUCACCAACCUGGUUGCCCACUUCAAAAUGUCAAGAACCACACUAUCUAAUUGAAAGAACUGUGUUUUAGCAAAGUGUAAUUGGAUCGCCUGGCAAGAUCAUCUCAAACUAUGUCUCUGACCUUGCCUUUCAGUGGCUAUUUUGAGCACAAGAGGAGAAAGGAAAUGAUUCCUGAAUUAUAUCUUGUUUUUAAAAAUUAAGAUUAAUUAAUACUUGGUUUUAUGUUCAUUCCAUUGUAGGAACUUAGUGAUUAUUACAAAACAGUCAAAAUAGGUCAUAGCAAAAUGAACGUUUAAGAUUAGGUUAAAACAUUCCUCUGAAAUUUUAGUAUUCACUUUUGAAGUGUCAAUUACUAUAUUUCUGUAAUUUCUCAUUUUUUUCUUGGCUUAGAGUCAAGAUGAAAAAUGAUAUUUGAAUCAAAGACAUUGUUUUGUUAUAUAGCCACUCCUUUCUAAAAUGCAAAUCCACCCUCCCCUCACCAAUGCUUUAUUCUUUGUGCGCGCACACACACACACACACACACACACACACACACACACACACAGACAUACACAGAACCAGCACCCAAAUGGUAGAGGAGGUCCUUCCAAGACUUCUAGGACCUGGAUCAUGUAAGCAGUAGAUGAGAAAAUGAAGUAAGAGAUAUAGAGUAAUAACAAUAAAAGUCAAUGAUUUCAUUUUACAAAAAAGUCAUUGUGUAGUACUCAGAUAUUUUUAAGAGCAAGUAUUAUUAUGACUAAAGUAUAUUAUACUUCUAAAUUAUUAUGAUUCUCAUCUAAUUUCAAGCCACACAUAGGCGCCAUUUGAAAGCAUUUUGUGUUACAACCUAUCAACAAAAAUCAACUAAUAGUUUUAUAACGUGCAUAGGUUUACCCCAUGGGGAAUUAAAAUUUUUAUCUGCAAGUAUUUCUGUUGUUGUGAGACUUUAGGACAAGACAACAUUUGGUGUUAACAUAGAAGAAUAUUCUAUGGCUUUUUUAGCUUUAA
rnacentral:lncRNA from 1 species